ensembl:lncRNA
GCAUUGGUUGGGUGACCUUUGGAAUGCGUGAAGACCUGUAGCUUAGUUAGGCCUGAGCAGAACAAGGAUUGUCACACCUCUUUCCAAUCACUGCUUCCCACACCUCAAACCAUUGCGCUGCUUUAUUCCUUGUAUCAGACGUACCAUAAACCCCUCGCUCUGUGGUGGUAAAACUGGCUUUUUCCCCUCUUGGUACCUUGUGAAUAAACCUUCUCUAUGCUGCAAAUCAUUUCAGCUUGCUGUGCACUGGGCAAGAAAAAGGUCUCAUGAUGGACAGGGAGGCCUGGCGUGCUGCGAUUCAUGGGGUCACAAAGAGUCGGACACGACUGAGUGACUGAACUGAACUGAAGAACUCAAUGGGAAGGAAUCUGUACUUGUUAUAUAUAAUGCUCUGGAAUGAUGCUAAAGCUGAAACUCCAGUACUUUGGCCACCUCAUGUGAAGAGUUGACUCAUUGGAAAAGACUCUGAUGCUGGGAGGGAUUGGAGACAGGAGGAAAAGGGGACGACAGAGGAUGAGAUGGCUGGAUGGCAUCACUGACUCGAUGGACAUGAGUCUGAGUGAACUCUGGGAGUUGGUGAUGGACAGGGAGGCCUGUUGUGCUGCGAUUCAUGGGGUUGCAAAGAGUCGGACACGACUGAGUGACUGAACUGAACUGAACUGAAG